AGUUUGUGGAUCGAUAAAUGCACGCAGCUGCUAGUGGUUGUUGCGAUAACUCAGCUGGAUACGAUAAAUUGUGUGUGUUAGUCAUUCAUAGAAUACUUAUAUCGUGUAAUUUUGCUUCCUUUUAAAAUUCAUACAAAUAUUAUACUUUAAAAUGAGUUGUAUUAUUAAAUUAAUUGAAGAGAAAUGAGUCAAAAUGAAACUCAAUUUUUAUCUGUGUAACAUAUCAAAUUUUAAUGAUACGCCAUAAGUGAUCAGUAUUGAAUUCAGGGCAAGGAAAAGUUCAGAAAUUUUCGUGUGUUCCAAAACCAACUAGUUUUUAAAUUCAUCAAUGAAAACCUAAUCCUUUGCAUUAAAACAAUGCCUUGAUUUAAAUAAAUAUUCGUAACAUAGGACCAGUAGUCGAAUCACGAACAAUGACGGUGAUAAUAUAGCGGAGUUAUGAUUAAAUAAAUUAGGAUGAUUUGUAGUUAAAGUCGAUUUUUUAUCUUUCGACACUGAAGUGCAAAACGAUAAAUAAAAAAUAGCAACAUAAUUAAAUAAACUAUGUUUGACAUAUCAGUGACGAAACUAUCUUCUAUAGGAACAUGUAAAAUAUUGCAUUCUUCAAAAGUGAUAACUUUUAUGAUAUUCAUAGUUUUCUAUAUUUGUUGGAUAUUACCGUGGGAAGUUGCCGGAGAACAUGGAAAGCAAUAUAAACUUGGCGUCAUUUGCAAAAAUCAUUUCUUACGAGAUUUAUACCGAAAAAUCGAUGGUGCCGUACUAACAUCGCAAAAUGAACACAAUUUGAAUUGUGCGAUCACAUUUCAGACCCACAGUAUUCUUCAACGAUUCAUGUUAAGGUUUGACAAACUUCAACUCGAUUGCAACGACCAUCUCUUUAUAUACGAUGGCGCCCAUGCUGUCAGCAAUUUUAAGGCGGAUCUGUCGUGUAGGAACACGCACAUAAGCGUCGGUGCUAUUUAUACGCGCACAAAUUUCGUUACAUUAAAAUAUGUUACUGAUGCUUGGGGUACAGAUACGAAUGGAUUUCGACUAGUCAUCACAGCAGUUAAAGAUCCGAAGCACACUUGUAAGGAUUUUCGAUGCUCUAUGAAUGAAUUUUGUAUUGACGAAGAUCUUGUUUGCGAUGGUGUUAAUCACUGCGGUGAUGAAUCUGAUGAAGCUCCUUCAGCCCUCUGUACCGAUACAAAAACUGCGACGAUCCUUGGAAUCGAAAAAACGUGGUUCGCAGCUGUUCUAGUUAUCGUCAUAAUCAUCUUAUUGUGUAUUAUCAGUGGGGCAACAUUUUACUAUUGUCGAAAACGAACUGAUGUACCAAGACAUCUACAUAAUACGCUCACCGUAAGAGCUCAUACUCCAGUUAACUUCCCAUUGCAACAGAUGUACGGAUCAAACGGGGUAAACAAUGGAGUGCCGGUGAAUAUGACGGAAAUAAAGGAGCCGAUAAAAAUUCUCGAUCCCAUGAUCAACUUCAACCAUGUAGGAACGGGAAUCGGAUUAACGGGUGUAACGACUCUACCACGGUCGGGAAACUGGCUACACCCUGCAGGCCUCAUGCUCGGGCGCAGCGAAGUUCGGGUUCGUCUCUAUUGCCAGGCAAAGUAAAAAUUCACGGAUCAGACAGUGACAUUUCAUCUAGCCAACGAGAAGAAUGGUUCGUGUAACUAAGAGACAGAUCCUACCUAAGCUUGCAGGGUGGACGAAGGAACGGAUGUGCCCUCACCGUCCUUUUGGAUAAUCGAUACAAGUUCUACUUAAGAUGCCGAAGAACGAUUGUUGGUGAUCAUCAGCGUCAUUGACAUAGAAAUAGAUCAUUAUAAUCCACAAAAUGAAUACUAGUUUCUCUGAAUGGAAAAUUUGACUGUUUUACUUACAAUAAUUAUCUAGUGUGAUAAAUAUAUUAAUCGAUAAUGCAUCAAUUUUCACCAAACAUACUAUAGCAAACAUAAAUCGUUAUAUCAUAUAUAAAUAUAUACAUCUACAGGCUGUGUCAAAAGUACCAACCCGACUGUUAAGAAUAGAUUGAGGAAAAAUUCCAAGACGAAACCUUCUUUACUGGUUUUUGGAAGGAAGAACGAGUAGAGUAGGGAAAGAAACCACCAAUAAAAAUCAACGGCGCGCACACUUAGCUGUCAUUCAGUGGUUCUCGCAGCGAUUAAUGCAAUUAAUCUCCUUCUCUACUCUACAAUCUCUUACUAAAGAUCACUCCUGAUUGGUUAAUUUUAUCAAUUAAUAACUAAUAACCUGUUCAUCUGGUCAAAAAAUGGUACAAGUCUUUUGGUUUUGGAAUUUCAUCCUCAAUUAACUUCUAAUGUUUGGGCUAGUAUUUUUGGCACAUCCUGUAUACAUAUGUAUGUACCCAUUUUAGUGCAUUUUUUUCACAAAUAUGUUUUUUUUUCUCAGUCUGUAUAAAAGUUUAUUUGUCGACGAUACAGAAAAUCAUUUUUUCCGAAUUUGGGCUGUUUAUUCAAAUUUUAAAAGGUCGAAAUUUAUAUCCAAAGUUUUCCUGCUUCAAAAACAUUACAACAACGUUACUUUUUAAAAUAUUUUUACUCAGCCGUUAUUUUAAUUACCAACUUUUUAAAAGGCUCAGUCUUUGAGCUUCUCUUAGAAAUUGUUAUAAACGUCAUAGCUUAAUUUUCUGAAGGUGUCAAAGUUAUGAGAUAUCUAACAUUAAGACUUGAAAUUUUGACUAAAAAAUCAUGAUUGUUAGUCGUUAUUAUUUAAACUAUUGACUUAUACGAAUGAAUAUCAUCAAGACUCUACUAGGAAUACUUAAAAUUUAAUACAUAUCUAAGUUUUAUAUGUUAUAACUUAUAACAAAUACAAGACUGCUUUAGUGAGCAUUAAAUUUCUACUAUCGAUUCAUAAUCGUCUAUAUAAUAAAUAUAAGGUAAAAUUUACACUUUUUCAGCUAAAUUUUAUAAUAUUUAUAUAUUACAUAUCCAAUGGCUAUUAAUUAAAAAAAUAUAGACAUCUGCGACCCGUCGUUGACUAUCGGCACUUUAAUCAAUACAUUAAAUCGACAAAUUACAUCAACAUAUCACCCUACAUUAAUAUAACUGACAAAUUAAGUACAAAAAAUAGUAAAAUUUCCAUAAAGUCAACGUUCCUGUCCAGGACUAUCGCAUAAAUUCAACACAUUUUUUUUAUCUCCACCACAUUGAUAGUCAUCUCUUAUGUGCACAGGUCUGCGCAGUAGUAUGCGUAAUGUCCGAAAAACUAUUAAAUGAUCACCUAAAUGUAAGUUUUAAACACCCAUUAUCUAAGUUAGGAUUUAUGUGUACAUGAUAUUAUAGGUGCACUUUGAGAAUUUUGAAUUUUUUACCUCUAAGAUUCUUUUUUAUUGCCCGCGCGGAAAAUUGUAGUGCGAGGAAGGACUUCUAACUCUAUGAAGAAAAUCUUGUUAAGUUUAGAGAGAAAGCAAUUUUAUGGAGAUUCACAUUAUGGAGAUUCUACAGAAUUUUAUUUGUGACAGAAGUUUGGCUAAAAUUGGAUAAUGGUCAAAAUCUCCAAGAAUAAGGGUUUGAAAAAAUAAAUAAAGCAGUUGGAAUUAUUGAAAAGUCUUAUGUCUUUCUUAAAAAGUAUUGAGUGCAGUGCAAAAUUUGUGCUGCUAUUUUUUGUCGUUGAAGUCGAUAGCUCAAAUAUCAAUAGCCAACAAUCAUAAUUUUUUACAAAUUGAAAUUUUUCAAGUAUGAAGCAUUAGAACAUUGAAACCUCUGUAAAAUAGGCUCAGGACAAGUUGAUUACUCAAAAAAUGGCAGAGUAGGUAUUUUAUUUUUAAAAGUGCUGUUAUAAUCCUUUUUGAAUGGAAAAACAGCAAAUAAAUUGCGACCUCUUGAAAUUAAAAUUAAGCUUAAAUUUAAAGAAGACUAUUCUUUAUCGUCUGCAGCGAAAUAUUCAUAUAGACUAAAAAUAAAUAAAAAAAUUCGCAAAACAUAAGCAUCCUAAAUAUAUAUAUUUCUAUAUAUAUAUAUAAAGUGAUGAUUAAGUAUUGGAAUAUGAACAGUUGAGUGCAUAUAAUCGUCCAUAUGACUAUAAACGAUUGCAUUUUUAUCGACUAUUUUUGACUAUAUCUUCAUAAAAGAAACAAACAUUUUAACAGAUAAUUUUUAUGAGUGUAAGACAGAAAAUAUACACCUUAAUCAUACGGACUUGAAAUUUAAAAUAAAGUUUAAAGAGUAUUUUAUACUUGUUUACUAAACAUUCAAAUGUAUCCAAAUAUUGUUAAAUUAAAAUUAUACAUUGUCAAAUAAAACCUUACUAGAAUACGUAUGCAAUGAUACAUUGAUUUUGCAGAAAAUGUAACAAUAAUUUGUUAAAAUAUAAAACAGUAUUGUCUUAA